AAAGCUCACUCUGAGUACCUCCAGAACUAGCUUUCUCCCUGACAAACUAAAGGAAGUUUUGGCUCCUUGACGUCUUUGUGAGGUUGGCAAUCCCCUUGGUCAACCAGAGAACCAACAGGUGAGAUGACAAUGAAAAUAAGGCCCAGUGUACAGCAAAAGGGAUGUAGCAAGACAGAAGUGACUGUGACUCAGAUGUUAUCAAAGACAAGAUGAAGCCUGCCUGAGAACCCUCCUCUUAAACUGCAGGAGCCCAGACCCUGAGCAGGGAGAGAGUCAGGUCCCAGAUGGAGACGCUGAUCAACUUCAUAGCAUCACCAUGGAGCCAGAUCUGGAAAUUCUCUAGGGGGUUGCUGAACAACCCUGUCAUCCCUACCUGACCUCAGCUGCUGAGGUCCCUGUGAACACUGUCCGCAAGCAAUCAUCCCGGCGGGUGGGGGGGCUUUGUUCUGCAGUCCAAGCCACCUGGAGAAGAACGUGUAAGGUGGAAAUAUGGAGAAAGAUGGCUCACAGAUACAGGAAAGCUGCAGAGGGAGCCGAGUCAGUUCCAGUGUUCAUACAGGGGCAGACUAUGGCAACUACAGC
rnacentral:lncRNA from 1 species